UACAGAGGUCUCAAGCGUUGUUCGGAUUCAUUGGGCGUAAAGGGCGCGUAGGCGGCGGGGUCAGUCGGGUGUGAAAUCUUGGGGCUUAACCCCGAAACGGCACUCGAAACUGCCCGGCUGGAGGGCCGGAGAGGAGAUCGGAAUUCACGGUGUAGCAGUGAAAUGCGUAGAGAUCGUGAGGAACACCAAUGGCGAAGGCAGCUUGCUGGGACGGUACUGACGCUGAGACGCGAAAGCGUGGGGAGCGAACAGG
rnacentral:rRNA from 1 species